rnacentral:misc_RNA from 1 species
UUUCCGUAGGUGAACCUGCGGAAGGAUCAUUAAUGUGUUUGGGCCUCACGGCUCUUCAUUCCGACGCUGUGCGCCUUCGGGCUGCACGCUGAGGGAGCAUAUAUCCUCCCCUGUGCACACACACGGUGGCGAGCUGGGUAACGGCUCGCCGCUGAUCUUUACACACGUCUAAAAGUCAUUGUACGUUUAUUUGAGAUAAAAACACAACUUUCAGCAACGGAUCUCUUGGCUCUC